GCUGAGAUAGCUCAGUUGGUUAACCAUUAGAGUGUGGUGCUGAUAACUCCAAGGUUGCAGGUUCAAUCACAGCUGCAUAUUCCUGGGUU